CUCAGGACGAACGCUGGCGGCGUGCCUAACACAUGCAAGUCGAACGGAGAUACGCGCUGAAUGGAUGGAGCUUGCUUUUGAAAUUCUUGUGUAUCUUAGUGGCGGACGGGUGAGUAACGCGUGAGCAACCUGCCUUUCAGAGGGGGAUAACGUUUGGAAACGAACGCUAAUACCGCAUGAGACCACGGUACUGCAUAGUACAGUGGCCAAAGGAGCAAUCCGCUGAAAGAUGGGCUCGCGUCCGAUUAGAUAGUUGGCGGGGUAACGGCCCACCAAGUCGACGAUCGGUAGCCGGACUGAGAGGUUGAACGGCCACAUUGGGACUGAGACACGGCCCAGAAUCCUACGGGAGGCAGCAGUGAGGGAUAUUGGUCAAUGGGGGAAACCCUGAACCAGCAACGCCGCGUGAGGGAAGACGGUUUUCGGAUUGUAAACCUCUGUCCUCUGUGAAGAUAAUGACGGUAGCAGAGGAGGAAGCUCCGGCUAACUACGUGCCAACAGCCGCGGUAAUACGUAGGGAGCGAGCGUUGUCCGGAUUUACU
rnacentral:rRNA from 1 species